GAUGAACGCUGGCGGCGUGCCUAAUACAUGCAAGUCGAGCGAACAGAUAAGGAGCUUGCUCCUUUGACGUUAGCGGCGGACGGGUGAGUAACACGUGGGUAACCUACCUAUAAGACUGGAAUAACUUCGGGAAACCGGGGCUAAUGCCGGAUAACAUAUUGAACCGCAUGGUUCUAAAGUGAAAGAUGGUUUUGCUAUCACUUAUAGAUGGAUCCGCGCCGUAUUAGCUAGUUGGUAAGGUAACGGCUUACCAAGGCAACGAUACGUAGCCGACCUGAGAGGGUGAUCGGCCACACUGGAACUGAGACACGGUCCAGACUCCUACGGGAGGCAGCAGUAGGGAAUCUUCCGCAAUGGGCGAAAGCCUGACGGAGCAACGCCGCGUGAGUGAUGAAGGUCUUCGGAUCGUAAAACUCUGUUAUUAGGGAAGAACAAAUGUGUAAGUAACUGUGCACGUCUUGACGGUACCUAAUCAGAAAGCCACGGCUAACUACGUG
rnacentral:rRNA from 1 species